AACUAAUUAACAAUAGUUUCUUCAUCUGUUCAUCCGACCAAGCUUAAUGGUAAAGUGGAAGGUGUCAUUGAUUUGCCAAUAAAGAUAUUGUUUGAGAUCUUAUUGAUAGAAAGAUGAUGUUUAUCUUACAUGUAUUCAGUUGUCAGUGCUCGAAAGUGCAUUUUCGCGUUUUAAAAACAAUUCAUUUUAAAUAAUAAUUAAACUGUUAAUUUUCCAGGUCAGGUUUUUCCACUCAAACCGAUUUCACCUGGUGUUUGUACCGACUCUGACCCCAUAUUGUGUUCAACAUUCGGUCGUCUAAAUGGCAACGCAUGCAGAGAACAGACUGUAUUACUACGAUGCCCAUCGUCCUGCGCUACAUGUGCUCAUGUUGUAUGGGGUUCCUGGCAACCUUGGAGUACCUGUUCGGCUAGCUGUGGGCUAGGUACGAGAAAUAGAUCAAGGACAUGUCAUCGGCGUUUCAACUUUGUUGGGACUUGUGCUGGACCUUCAGUAAGCAGCAAGGCAUGUGAAGGACAUAAUUGCCCAGUAAAUGGUCGAUGGUGUCAUGAGACAAGAAAUGAAUGCGAGUUUGUCGGUUCUUAUCAUCCUGAGUAUAGAUGUGAACAAAAAACAUACAAAUCUUCUUGUUCCUGUCCAUCGCCUCAAAAUGGCGGUCUUCCAUGUGAUACGUAGAUUCGCAAGACCAGUAUAGCAGACAUAGUCUAUUUAGCAGGAAUAAAAUCUUAUUUACUGUUCUAAACAAUAAUUUUUUGAUUGAUUGAAAUAA